ACGGAGGGUGCGAGCGUUAAUCGGAAUUACUGGGCGUAAAGCGUACGCAGGCGGUUCGCUAAGCCAGGUGUGAAAUCCCCGGGCUUAACCUGGGAAUAGCGUUUGGGACUGGCAGGCUGGAGUAUGACAGAGGGUGGUAGAAUUCCAGGUGUAGCAGUGAAAUGCGUAGAGAUGUGAAGGAACACCGAUGGCGAAGGCAGCCACCUGGGCCGAUACUGACGCUCAUGCACGAAAGCGUGGGGAGCAAACAG
rnacentral:rRNA from 1 species